rnacentral:rRNA from 1 species
GAUGAACGCUGGCGGCGUGCCUAAUACAUGCAAGUCGAGCGAACAGACGAGGAGCUUGCUCCUCUGACGUUAGCGGCGGACGGGUGAGUAACACGCGGAUAACCUACCUAUAAGACUGGGAUAACUUCGGGAAACCGGAGCUAAUACCGGAUAAUAUAUUUAACCGCAUGGUUCAAUAGUGAAAGACGGUUUUGCUGUCACUUAUAGAUGGAUCCGCGCCGCAUUAGCUAGUUGGUAAGGUAACGGCUUACCAAGGCAACGAUGCGUAGCCGACCUGAGAGGGUGAUCGGCCACACUGGAACUGAGACACGGUCCAGACUCCUACGGGAGGCAGCAGUAGGGAAUCUUCCGCAAUGGGCGAAAGCUUGACGGAGCAACGCCGCGUGAGUGAUGAAGGUCUUCGGAUCGUAAAACUCUGUUAUUAGGGAAGAACAAAUGUGUAAGUAACUAUGCACGUCUUGACGGUACCUAAUCAGAAAGCCACGGCUAACUACGUG